GGAAUAUCAUGACAUAAUUAAAGGAUAUGAAAAACAAAACAAAACAAACAAAAAAAAUACAACAAAAUUCACAGAAUGUAGCAACUGAGGAUAUAGAAUCAUAGAAUCAUAGAAUCACUCAGGUUGGAAAGGAGCUUAAAGAUCAUGGAGUCCAACCACAAUCAGAAAAUAUUGGUGAUUUCUCACUUCACUGGUCGAAAAGCUGUGUUUCUUUUGUAGUUAUAGGCACUGAUAGAUACUAGAACUAUCAGAUCUAUUCAUUUUUAUUUCUACUCACUGACCACAAUCAGUACUUUGCCAAAAGAGUAUACCAGUGCUGCAGCUUGUGAUGGGGGAGAGGAUCAAAUCACCUCUGGGAAAGAAAGUCUGAGCAGAUGUUUCCUGCAACGCAGAUGCUCCAGUCAUGAGGCUAUGAGGAAGAGGGGAGCCAUUGCAUGGUGUUAAUUUUCUCCAGGUGGGUCCCGCAAAUGCUUGAACAGAAAAAACACUGUAUGCAAGUUUUUCUGGACCUGUUGAACUAAUGCAAGGCUGAAGAUGACACUUUCCUGGAUGGCAUCAUUACCUGUGACAAGACACGGCAUCACCUCUGCGAUCCAGAAUCAAAAUGGCAGUCCAAGGGUUGAUGGUAUAGGAAUUCCCCAUUGAAGAAAAGGCUCAAGACACAGCCCUCAAUGGGUAAACUAAUGUGCACUAUCUUUUGGGAUAGGAAGGAUGUGAUCCUUCUGGAUUUACUGCAACCUGGACAUCAACUUUCUGCCGCAUCUUGACACUGCCUAAGCUGAAGGUUUGAACUUCCAGAGUCAGGCCAGAGAAGAAGACAACCUUUAUUUUGGAACACAAUUAUGCCAGGCCCAUUACUUUGAAGACUGUGAAACACAUUGCCAGUCUUGUCUGGACUGACCUACCACAUCCACAUAUAAUCUGAGUUUAGUGCCUUUUGACUUCCAUCUGUUUGGGCCAAUGAAAGAUGGACUGUUAAAGCAACACUUUCUCAGCAUUAAAACACCAUCAUAGGCGUUGUGAAACAGUGGGUCAUCUCAGCUAGUGCAGAUUUUUAUGAGCAUGGCAUUUAGGCUCUUGUUCAUCACUGGCAAAAAUGCAUAGCCAGUAGAGGUGAAUGUUGAAAAAUCACUUUGUAGCUGAGAAUCUAUUCUAUCCAGCCAUAUUAUUUGUGCUCUCUGUAUCUGUUGUAAUUUCUAUGGAAAUGAAUGUUAAAAGGCAUUACUUUCAGAGCAACCUACAUCUACAGAUGGAACACUGCCAAAUAUUUUCUCUCUUUUUUUUUUUUAAUGCCUGAAAUAAAAAAAUAAAAAAGGACUUUAUAACUUAAAGUGUAAGGCAACAUUAUGAUUAUGCAGUUGCAACAGCCUGCCAACUGUAAUAUUUUCAGAGAAGCAGGAUUUCUUAAUUCCCAAUAGAUUUCACUGAAGAGAUGAUCUGGGGGAGUCAUUAAAAGCUAUCUUUCCAAAGUGAAAAUGAAGGUUAAUUAAUUCUGCAAAAGGGAUUCAUGAUUAUAUAUUAGAGAAUAAUUGCCAUAUAAAUCUGUUUUCUUGAUUUUCACCAGGUGGAUGAAAUGAUCUUUUACAAAAAAAAAAAAAAAAUUAUAAGGAAGAUUAUUUUUCCGGUGAUAUAGCAGUAUACUUUGAUGUUAAUAAUGUAGUGGAUUGGGCUUAUAAGAUUUGGGAAGCUUUGAGAUGCUUGUGUUGCAAUGUUUGAUCCUAUCAUUGUUGACCCAAUGCCUUAGUAAGGAAUAUAUACCAUAUUAAAUCUAUGAAAUUUAUUGUUGUUUAUUUUUUUAUUGUUGCUUAUAUUUAUGGAAUGAUUAUUAGUUACAAAUUGGUGAACUGGGUUGAAUUUUUCAUGUUCUAGAGUUUGGAGUAGGUUGACUGAACUAAU
ensembl:lncRNA